AUUGAACGCUGGCGGCAUGCCUUACACAUGCAAGUCGAACGGCAGCACGGACUUCGGUCUGGUGGCGAGUGGCGAACGGGUGAGUAAUAUAUCGGAACAUACCUUGUAGUGGGGAUAACUAUCCGAAAGGAUAGCUAAUACCGCAUACGAUCUAAGGAUGAAAGCGGGGGAUCUUCGGACCUCGUGCUAUAAGAGUGGCCGAUAUCUGCGUAGCUAGUUGGUGAGGUAAAGGCUCACCAAGGCGACGAUCAGUAGCUGUUCUGAGAGGACGACCAGCCACACUGGAACAGAGACACGGUCCAGACUCCUACGGGAGUCAGCAGUGGGGAAUUUUGGACAAUGGGGGCAACCCUGAUCCAGCAAUGCCGCGUGAGUGAGGAAGGCCUUCGGGUUUUAAAGCUCUUUUGUCAGGGAAGAAACGGUUGUGGCUAAUAUCCAUGGCUAAUGACGGUACCUGAAGAAUAAGCACCGGCUAACUCCGUGCCAGCAGCCGCCGUAACAC
rnacentral:rRNA from 1 species